CCUACGGGAGGCAGCAGUGGGGAAUAUUGCACAAUGGGCGCAAGCCUGAUGCAGCCAUGCCGCGUGUGUGAAGAAGGCCUUCGGGUUGUAAAGCACUUUCAGUCGUGAGGAAGGCGGCGUCGUUAAUAGCGGCGUUGUUUGACGUUAGCGACAGAAGAAGCACCGGCUAACUCCGUGCCAGCAGCCGCGGUAAU
rnacentral:rRNA from 1 species